GAGUUUGAUCGUGGCUCAGGAUGAACGCUGGCGGCGUGCCUAAUACAUGCAAGUCGAGCGAACAGACGAGGAGCUUGCUCCUCUGACGUUAGCGGCGGACGGGUGAGUAACACGUGGAUAACCUACCUAUAAGACUGGGAUAACUUCGGGAAACCGGAGCUAAUACCGGAUAAUAUAUUGAACCGCAUGGUUCAAUAGUGAAAGACGGUUUUGCUGUCACUUAUAGAUGGAUCCGCGCCGCAUUAGCUAGUUGGUAAGGUAACGGCUUACCAAGGCAACGAUGCGUAGCCGACCUGAGAGGGUGAUCGGCCACACUGGAACUGAGACACGGUCCAGACUCCUACGGGAGGCAGCAGUAGGGAAUCUUCCGCAAUGGGCGAAAGCCUGACGGAGCAACGCCGCGUGAGUGAUGAAGGUCUUCGGAUCGUAAAACUCUGUUAUUAGGGAAGAACAAAUGUGUAAGUAACUAUGCACGUCUUGACGGUACUAAUCAGAAAGCCACGGCUAACUACGUGCCAGCCCG
rnacentral:rRNA from 1 species